rnacentral:rRNA from 1 species
GUUGUGAAUGAACGAACAAAACUUCUAGUUCAGGCGGCAUCGCUGAUAGUUGCGGUUCAUGCCUAGAUCCUAUUGGUCCAUAAGAGAGAUGUAAGUUGGAAUGAGAAACCUCUCAUCCGGUACGGUCUAAUGUUAAUCCGGGAUCAGGAGAGGAUAGCAAAUCUGAACUACAUCCACAACUGCAACGACACAGAGGCUCUGUGGAUGCUUCAAAUGAAAAGAGUGCCUUUCGCUAGGCUUGUGCAGACGUUCAGGAGCAGAGGGCUGCGAGAAGAUAGCAUCCACACCACCAUGGAAGAGCAAGUAGCAAUGUUCCUCCAUGUUGUUGGUCAUAACCAGAGGUUCAGGGUUGUAAACAACACCUUCAGGAGAUCAAUGGAGACCUCCAGGUACUUUAAGCAAGUGAUGCAUGAUGUUGGGGAGCACAGAGGAGAGAUGAUCAGGUCACCAACCAGCGAGACUCCUACCAAGAUUCGCACUAGCUCAAGAUGGUCGCCAUACUUCAAGGUGAGCAUUGACAAUAUCUAG